GAUCACCUACGGGGCGCAGCAGUGAGGAAUAUUGGUCAAUGGGCUUACGCCUGAACCAGCCACGUCGCGUGAGGGAAGACUGCCCUAUGGGUUGUAACCCUCUUUUGUCAGGGAGCAAUUGGCGCUACGUGUAGCGUUAUCGAGAUUACCUGAAGAAAAAGCAUCGGCUAACUCCGUGCCAGCAGCCGCGGUAAUACGGAGGAUGCGUGCGUUAUCCGGAUUUAUUGGGUUUAAAGGGUGCGUAGGCGG
rnacentral:rRNA from 1 species